UACGAAGGGGGGCUAGCGUUGCUCGGAAUUACUGGGCGUAAAGCGCACGUAGGCGGCUUUCUAAGUCGGGGGUGAAAUCCUGGAGCUCAACUCCAGAACUGCCUUCGAUACUGGAGAGCUUGAGUCCGGGAGAGGUGAGUGGAACUGCGAGUGUAGAGGUGAAAUUCGUAGAUAUUCGCAAGAACACCAGUGGCGAAGGCGGCUCACUGGCCCGUACUGACGCU
rnacentral:rRNA from 1 species